CGGCGCGGCAAUGCGGCCGCGGGCGGGCGUUUCGGCGCCGGUCCGAGGAAAGUCCGAGCACGAGAGGACAAGGUGGUGGGUAACGCCCACCCGUCGGGACACUCGUUGUGGUCACCGGCGAGGGAAAGUGCGAAGAAAACAGACCGCCGAUGGCCUCUGGGUAGGUCGGCUCUCCGAGCCGACAACUCAGCGGCACAGGCAAGGGUGAGAGGGUGCGGUAAGAGCGCACCGCCCGGCUGGCGACAGUCCGGAGGCUAGCAAACCCCACCUCGUGCAAGCCCAAGCAGGCCCCACGGUGAUCCGUCACCGACCGUUGGUCCGGCGGCGGGGCCGGGUAGGGUGCUGGGAACUUCGGUUCCCCAUCGCGUCGGCAACGGCGCGAGAAGAGAAAUGGCCGCACGGCCCGCAAGGUCGUUCAUCAGAGCCCCCGUCAACGCGAUGAACGAAACCAACGGGCCCGACAGAACUCGGCUUACAAGCCGCGCCCGACC
rnacentral:RNase_P_RNA from 1 species